UACGUAGGGGGCUAGCGUUGUCCGGAAUCAUUGGGCGUAAAGCGCGUGUAGGCGGUCCGGUAAGUCCGCUGUGAAAGUCGGGGGCUCAACCCUCGGAUGCCGGUGGAUACUGUCGGGCUUGAGUACGGAAGAGGCGAGUGGAAUUCCUGGUGUAGCGGUGAAAUGCGCAGAUAUCAGGAGGAACACCAAUUGCGAAGGCAGUUCGCUGGGACGUUACUGACGCUGAGACGCGAAAGCGUGGGGAGCAAACAGG
rnacentral:rRNA from 1 species